UACAGAGGGGGCAAGCGUUGUCCGGAAUUAUUGGGCGUAAAGGGCUCGUAGGCGGUUUGUCGCGUCGGGAGUGAAAACCCAGGGCUUAACCCUGGGCUGGCUUCCGAUACGGGCAGACUAGAGGUAUGCAGGGGAGAACGGAAUUCCUGGUGUAGCGGUGAAAUGCGCAGAUAUCGGGAGGAACACCUAUGGCGAAGGCAGCUCGCUGGGACGUUACUGACGCUGAGACGCGAAAGCGUGGGGAGCAAACAGG
rnacentral:rRNA from 1 species